ACAUGCAUAUUUAUCUUUAUUAUAAGUGCCUACUCACACUCGUUAUCAUAAGGUUCAAAAAAAAUGAAAUAAUAAUAUUUUAGGUUAGUGGAGAGUAUUCUAAGAAUACAAGUGAAAGACUAAACUUAAAAGAAUAUUUUAAAAUUCAAAGUCCUUUUUUAUUAAGUCAAACAAUUUUAAAUAUUUUUCAAUAAUUAGCUAAUUAAAUUUUAUUUUCAAUUUAUAUCUUUCUCCAAUAUAACUAGGGUAUGAAACC
rnacentral:lncRNA from 1 species